CCUACGGGUGGCAGCAGUGAGGAAUAUUGGUCAAUGGGCGAGAGCCUGAACCAGCCAAGUCGCGUGAGGGAGUACUGCCCUAUGGGUUGUAAACCUCUUUUGUCGGGGAGCAAAAGCCGGACGUGUCCGGCUGUGAGAGUACCCGAAGAAAAAGCAUCGGCUAACUCCGUGCCAGCAGCCGCGGUAAUACGGAGGAUGCGAGCGUUACACGGAUUUAGUGGGGUUAAAGAGGGCGCAGGCGGAUUAUUAAGGCAGCGGUAAAAUCGUGGGGCUCAACCCCAUCCAGCCGUUGAAACUGGGGAUCUAGAGUGUGCGAGAGGUAUGCGGAAUGCGUGGUGUAGCGGUGAAAUGCAUAGAUAUCACGCAGAACCCCGAUUGCGAAGGCAGCAUACCGGUGCACAACUGACGCUCAGGCACGAAAGCGUGGGUAUCGAACAGGAUUAGAUACCCGUGUAGUC
rnacentral:rRNA from 1 species